AGAGGAAGUAAAAGUCGUAACAAGGUUUCCGUAGGUGAACCUGCGGAAGGAUCAUUACCGAGGGCGGGAUUGGCCUACGGGUCACGUCCCGGGGGGGUUCCGCCCCCCGACUCUUCAACCCCGUGUAUAUCUACUCUGUUGCUUCGGCGAGCGUCGCGGUGCCUCGGCGCCGCGGCCCCGGCCGUGGCCGGUGAGUUCUCGCCAGAGGCCCAUCUUCAUUCUGUUUUAGUGACGUCCGAGUACCACGAUUGAAUCAAUCAAAACUUUCAACAACGGAUCUCUUGGUUCUGGCAUCGAUGAAGAACGCAGCGAAAUGCGAUAAGUAAUGUGAAUUGCAGAAUUCAGUGAAUCAUCGAAUCUUUGAACGCACAUUGCGCCCCUUGGUAUUCCGAGGGGCAUGCCUGUUCGAGCGUCAUUGCAACCCUCAAGCMCGGCUUGGUAUUGGGCGCUCGCCACCUCCCCUUCGGAGAUGGCGUGCCCGCAAACUAGUGGCGGUCCAGGGAGACUUCAAGCGCAGUAGAAACGUUCCGCUUUCGAGGUCUCGCCUGCGGUCCGGCCGUGGAACUCCCCGAAUUUUCAAUGAUUGACCUCGGAUCA
rnacentral:rRNA from 1 species